rnacentral:lncRNA from 1 species
UUUUUUUUUGUUUUUAAAAAAAGGGUUUUUUAAUGAAAAAGGAGAUAAAGUAUGGUUUUAAUUAAUAAUAAAACAAAGUAACAUGAGGGAGUGGGAUCAGCACGCUUUUUUGCUUGGGACCAUGUGCAUUUUACCUUUAAUUGGGUAAUUUGCGCAAUUGGUCCCCUCCUUUGCGCUAGCCUUCAAUCAGGCUAUAUUUAAGUUUUUUUAAAUUAUUUUAAAUUGGCCCUGCAAUCUGUGCGCUAUUUCAAUUUGCCCCCUUAGCACAGUAUUUUAAGAUUUGGGACAUUUUUAAUUUUAGACCUCGAACAUUUAUACGCAAUUAAUUUUAGCCUAAAAUUACGUUUUAAUAAGUUGUUUUAUUUGUAAGUUAUCCCUUGGAUUUUGUUUUUUUUUCUCUCAACUAAGUUUCAGUUAUUCUUCUUAGAAUAAAUAUGUUUCAACAUAUUAUUUUGAUUUCAUACUUUUGUGAUUAUUUUUUUUUCCACGUGCAUACCUGUUUAUAUGAAAUACCUUUAUAUUAUUAUUACUACUAUAUGUAUUAUUUAUAUUAAGCUUUUCCUGUGUAUAUAUUACUUUGUGUAUUAUUUACUUUUAAUCAUUUAUGCCUAUUAUUUAUUUUGGAAUUUCAGUUAUGCUACAUAUAUAUAUAUAUAUUUUUUUUUCUUAUUUUUUAUUUUGAUACAAUUCAAGCUUCGUUCAAAUUAUUUACUUUAGAAUAUUUUUUAAUUUCAUUUGUACAUUACUAUUUAAAAUUUUCUUAUAGUUCAUAUAGUUAUAUUUUCAAAUUUUCUUUUUCCUAUUAUUUAUUUUAUUUUAUUUUAAAAAAACUUGUUAUAUUUUAUUUAGGUGAUUUACUUGAAACUUUUUUUAAAAUUGGUUUCUUAUGCAUUGACCCUUGGACAUAAAUGGUGGUAUUUUCAUAAUAUAUGAUUUGUUAUUGCAUGUAUUCUAAGUUGUUCCUUUGCAUUUUCAUAUUAUUUUAGAUUAUUCCUGAGAUGUUAUUGCCACAUGUUUUAUUCAUUAUGUUAUCGAGUUAUUUAUUUUAUAAAAAUACAUUUCAUUUAUUUAUUACAUUUCAUUUAAAAUUUUAAACAAGGCAAUGUUCGGUAUUUAAAGAAUUCAAAAGAUCGUACCAUAACUUACUGGGUUUCGACUUUUCUCGUUUACCUUAAAUAACCGAACAUCCUUUUAAAAAAAAGAGUUAAAGUACAUGAAUUUUAAAUAAAAACAAGCUCAUUCUCAAAGUUCAAGAUGACGUGUCCUAACUUACUGGACAUGACAUUUUAUUACUUCAAGAUGAGAGAGUCUUCAACAUCCGUUUUAAUUUAUUCGAUCAUUUUUAAAUCAGCAUUAAUACAAAGAGAGAUCAUAUUUUAGAAGUCUUUCAAGUUUUCAAUUUUCGAUACUAAGACACUAAUUAAUCAACUAGGUACCAAUUUUGGGCGUAUCAAAGGUGCUAAUCCUUCAUCGUGCGUAACCGACUCCCGAACUCAUUUUUCGAUUUUCGUAGACCAAAAAUAAUAUUUUUAAUAAAUCAAAAUGUUUUCUUAAAAUGAUCGAUCAUAAGGUGACCCGAUCAUACCUAAACAAAAAAAAAUUGGUGACGACUCCAUUUUUGUUUUAAAGUCAAUCCCCCUUUUUCUCAAAAAAAAUAAUUACGACAAUGAAAUAAAAAAAAACAUAUAACAUACAAAACAAUAUAGAAACUAGGAUACAAUAUUAUACAAAACGAUUUAAAAACUAUAUAAGAAAUUAAAAAAAAAUAACACAUGCUAGAAUUUAAAAUAAUUUAUAUGUAUAAAAUAAAAACUAAUAAUAUACAAAAGAUUAUUAAAAUAGAUGCUGUAAUUGGCCCAUUUCGCCCGGGCCCAUUAUAAACCAAAAAUAAAUUAAAAUAAAAAUAAAAAGUCCAAACUUUAACAGUCCAUUUACAGCCGAAAUUUCAAAACCCAUUAACCCCAAAUUAUAGUAGCCUAGUACAAAAAUCAACACCCAAUAAAAGCCCAAAAACUAAAACCCCUAGCCCGAUUCACAGGUGGCCCAAUCUAAGGCUAACCCUAGCCCAAAUCCCAGUUGCUGAUCAGCGCCACAGCCAUAGUUUGUGCUCCUAGCAGUUCGUUCUCGAAGCAAGGCCAGAAGCUUCUGGAAAUCACCAGUAACCAGCCAGUGAUAGGGACGAACACUACACGUGCGCCACCAGUCCCUCACGCGCGUCUCUGCUCGUGCCGUUAGAUGGUUCUUUUCUGCAAAUGGAACACACGAGAAUAAGGAAAUAACAGAAUACGCAGUAUUACAGCAAAGCAAUUGGAUUUUUCUUAUUUAUUUUAUUUUCAUUUUUUAGCUAUAAAAGGGGAGGACUGAAUGUACUAUAUUUUUUAUGAAUACUGAAUAGAAAAAGGGGAAAGUAUUUCUCUUUAGGUGAUUCCUAAUUUCUUUUUUAAAUUUCUUUCAUCUUCUAUUAAUUGUUCAUCUGUUUUUCUUUUUUUUUUAUCAUAUGCGUUUAAAGAUAAAUAAAAGAAAAAGAGAAGAAUAAGCCUUAUCUUGCAAAUAUGCCGAAAGUUUCUUUUGCUUCGUUGCAAUCGGAGUUGAAAAGAGACCUUAAGGCUGAAAAAUCUUCUAUCAGGGCUUGAAUAUGUUAGCUGCUGUUUUGAGAAAGUGAAUCGACAAUUUGGGUGAAAUUUUAGGGUUUGAGAAGGAAGAAAGAAAGAAAGAGAUUGGAAUUUGAUUCAGCCGAAUAGGUUGUUUGGAUGGAUUUUAGCCACUAUAAGGAAUCCAAAACGGCAUAGUUUGGAGUCAAUCUUAAUGGCUUUGAAACGGUGCCUUACAAAAGGGGGGAAGAAGAAGACCCGCGCGUUAACCUGCUUUCCAACCCGGAUCUGCGAUUUUGUGCACCAAAUGGUAGAUUUUCGCGUAUAGUCCUCCUCAUUUGCACCUUCUUUUUAAUUAACCCUUAUUCGCAUUUUAUUUGUUUUAAAUUGGCCCUAGAAUUUGUGUGACACUUUAAUCUGACCCUCGCCUAAAUGCUAUGCUGUGAGAUCUGAAAUGUUUCCAGUUUCGAUCCCUGAAUAUUCGCGUAUGUUUCGCUUUAGUCAUUCUUUCUAUUUCAAUAGUUUUUUUUAUUUUGUAAAUUAUUCUUACUAUUUUAAUUUUUUUGUCGUAACCAUUUUUUUGAAAAAUCGGGAAUCGACUUGGAUUUUGAAAACAAGCAAAAAAAAACGGGAGUCGCCACCAAUCCUUUUUGAUGAGAUGUGAUCGGAUCACCUUAAAUUAAUCAUUUUAAUAAAAAUUAAGAUUUACUAAAACGAUAAUUUUUGGGUCUACGAAAAUCAGAAAAAUAGGUUCGGGAGUCGGUUACGCACG